AUUGAUUACAUUUAGUUUUUUUUUUUUUAAUUUUGACCAGGGGAUCCCUACAUUAGGUGGUCCUAUGUUUUGUCCUUGCCCUGAACUUUGUAUAUUUAACUAUCUUCAUGUUGACAAAUGCUUUUCAGACUACCAAAUAUUGAUGAGGGGUUGUAGGAUUUAUUCAUCUGAAUGCAUGUCAUCCUAGGAAAGAGUAGGGCGUGGUACCAUUUGAUGUUGGGAAAGAGCCUUUAGCUCCAGUAAAUCCAUUUUUUUUUUGUUUUUCAUACAUGAUACUUCUAUAGAUGUGGAUAUAUUUAGUGCAUUGGAUAAAAAAAUGGCUUUCUUGGUCGAAUUGCAGGGCUGAAACAGUCAUAUAUCAGACUUGGGAAGCCAAGCAAGUAUUUUGUUUGUAACUAAAAGAUCCAAAAAUGUAAUUGUCUUAAUUCUUUUUUUUUCUAGGGUUCUGAAUUUGGGUUUUCUUUUGGAGGUAUUUUUGUCUGUCAAGGAAUGAAAUCAAGGGAGCAGAAGUUGUUUGUCAGGGAAGCAUACUCAUUUGAAGUCAUUCUCAGGCAAUUAGGGGCAGAAAGAAUGGGAAACAAAGAUUAAUGUUCUUGGGGUGAUUGAGCAUCCAAAUCUUGCCAAACUAAUCGGUUACUGUGCAGAAGAUACUGAACCUGGUACACAACUGUUUUUAGUGUAUGGUUAAUGGAACCGUGCGAGAUCAUUUAUCUACAAAAUCCGAAACACCACUAUUAUGGAACAUGAGACCGAAAGUGGCCCAAGAUGCUGCUCGCGGUUUGACAUAUUUACAUGAAGAAAUGGAUUUUCAGAGAUUUCAAUCUUCCAACAGUCUUCUAGACAAUGACUGGAAUGCUAAGCUUUUGGAUUUUGGGGUUGCACGGUUAGGUCUUCAAGAAGGCUUCACUCAUAUAUCGACAAAGGUAUGUUUUUAUAAUUGUCUUCUAUAUAUCGAGCUAACGCGGUGUGUAAGUUCUGUUGAAAAGAGCAUGUUUUUAUCAUGGGCGGCAAUUCUUGACACUAAAACGGGUUUUGGUCGACUAACACGACCCGUUUAAAAAUAGGGUCGGGUUCGGGUUGACCCGUAUUAAAAACUGGUCAGGUUCGGGUUAGCUACUCGAAAGUACAAUAAAGCACAAUGGAAUGGAGUUGGUUUAUAUUCUCGCCAAUAGUUGAUUUAUAGAAUGUUCUCAGCCCAAGAAAUCAAAGGAAAACAAGGAUUUGAUCUGAAUGAGAUUGUUUUUGCUGGUGAUCUUUCACGUACAGUGAAUUCUCAAGUAAAUCCCUACAUGCUGCCAACAUUAGCUCCAAGAUUGUGGCCAUUUCUGUCCGUUAUUCAACCUUUCGCACAUUGGAGAAAGCUACCGAGAGAAAGAAGUGUUAUACAGGUUAAUGUCUCGACUCCAUUCUUCAGUAUUUGUCCACAUAGGUGGAAGAAGAUGAUGAAUCAAUGGUUGUUUAAAGAUGAGCAACAAUAGAAGAAGAGUGAGAAAAGUGUCGCUGAGAUAUCUUCAAAGAAAGUGGUGAUUGGUCAGGCACUUUUAUGGUCACAUAUGGACUUAUGGUCAAGGAUUUGUAAAGCAGUUUCAACAUGACAAAUGGACUAUUGCUCAAGGCUUUGUCACCUAUCAAUUCUGUAUCAAUCUGGUAUCUUUUGGCGUUUUUGGGAUCCAUACUUUAUGUUCAUUACCGGUUCAGUACGGUAUGUUACUUUACUCACUUUUUAUCUUCGAUUACCGUACCAUGCAAUUUUGGUAUCGGUGCAGUACCAAGCUCAUCUCUACUGCUACUACAUCUUCACAGAAACCUAUACCUUUUUGCGGGUAUUAUUUCUUGGUUUUUUUUUUUAAUAUUGUCGAUUAAUGGUACUUGGGCACACAGAAAUCAAUGAUAACGUGGUGCAUAUUGGGUGAUUAGUUGUAUUUUGGCACAUAUAAAUUUUAAAUUUCAAAUUGAAAUCAAUGAUAACUAGCUGCAUAUUGGGGAAGUCUGUCCACACCAUUGGGUGGAGCAUGGAGGAAGAUUGCGAGGUAUGAUUUUAAUUACUUUGGCGUUAAUUUUUAUUAUCAAAAUGGAACUAAAUGAUACAUCAUGCUCAAGUGUAACAUGAACUGGAAUUCCAAAUGUUGGGGUUUGAGAAGAUAACUAGAAUAGUUCACUUGAAUGGUGGUAAAUGCAUUAUUUGGUUUUUGCAAGUUUUUUUGUGGAUUAAUGUUGUCUUGCAGGAAAAUUACAUGUUUGUUUUGCAAACCAUGAUGUAAUAUACUUUUAAGUAGAUUAUUCGUAAUUAUUUGAGGUGUAAUUGUGAAUGGUAUAGUUUAAACGUGAAUGGUAUAGUUUAAACAUUAUUGUUUUAGUUUUUCUUUUUACCAUUGUUUUUGUUUUCAUGUUUCUUUAUUGACAUGUGAAAAUAAAUUCAUUAAUAGUGCAUAUGCUUACAUUUUACCGUUGUAUUCGCCCAGUUGACUGACAAACUCAAAAGCAAAUGCCGUUUCAAGAAUGGCUCCUUUGAGCUCAAGUUUGUCUAAAAUAAAUAAUUGGAUUAUUAUACCUAAUAAUGCUUUUAAAGCAAAAGAUUAAGGGUGAAAUACUAUAAAUAUUUAGGUGAAUUGAUGUUUACUUAACUAACAUAGUAUUAUGCUAGAAAAAACUAAAUUGAUGUAAUUAUACAAAAUGUACAUAUGGUUUUGAUAAGCAUUAAAUGCAUACAUAAUAUCUUUAGUGAAAGUCUACAAGUAUAAAUUAAAAAUUAUGAAAUAUUUAGAAAUUAUAUAAAUUGAUAUAUAGUAAUAAAUCGCAUGUUUCUUUAAUCAACAUUAAUGUACAACUAGCGGGUUAGGUAUGGGCUAUGUAUAUCGUAGCAUAUACAUUGACUAAUAUGGGCUAUUUUAAUUUGUCGUCGUAAUCUAAUCUAAGAGUGUGCAUGUGUGGAAUCGCUCGCAUAGGAAUUGAUGUAGCUCAUGCUAUGUAAGGAGCGUUUUUGAUAUCAUGUUUAUUGAGCCUGGGUUUACCCUCAUUUUUAGUGUAGUGCUUACAAGUCGUGCAAUUUUGUAGGUUUUUUUAUUCUAAAAAUAAGAAAUAUAUCAUUUCUCAACACCGCGAAAUUCGCGGGUAUUAGCACUAGUAUUGAAUUAAUUGAAUAAAACCAUAAAAAGUAUGAUAAAAAAAAAAUAAAAAAUUAGAUAUAGUAAAUUAACUGUAUGAAAAGAACAUAAAUAUGUUGGUUUGAAAAUAAAAGAUAAAUAUAAAAUAAAUGAAAAACAUCAAAUUGAUAAAUACUUUUCAAGUAACACCAUUUUAGUAAAUACUUUUUCCACCAAUACUAGUUUGGAAAAAAACUAACUGUAGAAUAUUACUGAAUCGUAAUCGGAAUGCAACGGUCGCGUUUAUCACAGGUAAAAACGACUUAAACUAUGAUUUUUGGGAUUCCAAGAAAAGCGCACAACAUGCUUUAAAAACGCUCAAUGCGGCCCACUUUUCAAAAUAAGACCGUUGCAAACGGUCAAAACAUUUAAUAUUUUAAUUUUAUUUUAUUCAACUUUUAAUCUAUAUAAUACCCACUUUUCACCACAUUUUUUAUAAACUUUCUCUACUUUUCAGUUUUCACCCACAUUCUCUACUUUUCACCUCUUUUUUUUAUAAACUUUCUCUACUCUUUCUUUUAAUUAGUAAAUCAUGAAUCUCUUCCGACCCCAUUUGGUGUGCCGUCGAGAAUCGGUAACCCAAUACAUAUCGGCCGAACACCACGCAACCGCAACCGAACUUAAACCUUCAAGACAUGGAUCCGAAUGUAUUUGCGUACGCGCAAAUACUAGGCAUGGGCGGUUCGCAACCGUUCUUUCAAGUUCUGCAAACCUUUCCAACCAUGGGCGGUUCGCAACCGUCUCCACAAGAUAUUGAUCCGAAGAAAGAAACGGUACCGGAGACACAACUUGAGCCCGUAGUCGAGGGAUCUAAACGUGGGAAAAGGUCUCACAAAAAGAAAGAUCCAACCGCUCCUCGUCGAAAAGGAACCUACGUAGCAUGGACGAAAGACGAGGAAUACGCGUUGGCACGGGUGUGACUAGAUAUAUCGGAGGACCCCGAUGUUGCAAAUUAUCAAACAUCACUGGUUUUUUGGUAAAAAUUUCGUGAAACGUUCUUUAAAUCGAUGGGGAAAGAUGAAUAUCGGGAUAAAGAUUCUAUUUCGAGCAAAUGGACCGAUAUCAACUUUAAAUGUCAUCAGUUUUAAGAGGUCUUUCAACACACUCGGAACAAUUGAGGAAGCGGCCUAAACGAUGCAAACAUUUUGUCAAGAGCGUUGGAAAAAUACAAUACUAAGAAACACAGUUCUUUCAACACUCGAGAAAUUUUAGGCCCAAAGAAGCCCAAGUCAAAUGAAAAGAUGGCCCGUCAAUCUUGAUAAUAAAGAUCACGAGUGAAUUGCAAGUUUUGUCCUUUAUUAUUAUACCCAAUUUCAAGUGAUGUCCUUUACCUUUAAAAUUGAUGAGUUUUGUACUUUAUGUUUUAGAUUGUUGCACAAAUUGUCCUUUAGUCCUAACUCAGUUUGCUUUUAACGUUAAAUGAGAUCAUGUGUAUAUCACAUGAGGGUACUUUUGUAAUUUUACCUAUUUAAUUAAAAAAGUUAUGUUAACG